GAUGAACGCUGGCGGCGUGCCUAAUACAUGCAAGUCGAGCGAACAGACGAGGAGCUUGCUCCUCUGACGUUAGCGGCGGACGGGUGAGUAACACGUGGAUAACCUACCUAUAAGACUGGGAUAACUUCGGGAAACCGGAGCUAAUACCGGAUAAUAUAUUGAACCGCAUGGUUCAAUAGUGAAAGACGGUUUUGCUGUCACUUAUAGAUGGAUCCGCGCCGCAUUAGCUAGUUGGUAAGGUAACGGCUUACCAAGGCGACGAUGCGUAGCCGACCUGAGAGGGUGAUCGGCCACACUGGAAAUGAGACACGGUCCAGACUCCUACGGGAGGCAGCAGUAGGGAAUCUUACGCAAUGGGCGAAAGCCUGACGGAGCAACGCCGCGUGAGUGAUGAAGGUCUUCGGAUCGUAAAACUCUGUUAUUAGGGAAGAACAAAUGUGUAAGUAACUAUGCACGUCUUGACGGUACCUAAUCAGAAAGCCACGGCUAACUACGUG
rnacentral:rRNA from 1 species